UAGGGAAUCUUCCACAAUGGACGCAAGUCUGAUGGAGCAACGCCGCGUGAGUGAAGAAGGUCUUCGGAUCGUAAAACUCUGUUGUUAGAGAAGAACACGAGUGAGAGUAACUGUUCAUUCGAUGACGGUAUCUAACCAGCGAGUCACGGCUAACUACGUGCCGG
rnacentral:rRNA from 1 species